CGGGUGAGUAACACGUAUCCAACCUGCCGUCUACUCUUGGACAGCCUUCUGAAAGGAAGAUUAAUACAAGAUGGCAUCAUGAGUCCGCAUGUUCACAUGAUUAAAGGUAUUCCGGUAGACGAUGGGGAUGCGUUCCAUUAGGCAGUUGGUGAGGUAACGGCUCACCAAACCUUCGAUGGAUAGGGGUUCUGAGAGGAAGGUCCCCCACAUUGGAACUGAGACACGGUCCAA
rnacentral:rRNA from 1 species